rnacentral:rRNA from 1 species
UACGUAGGGUGCGAGCGUUGUCCGGAAUUAUUGGGCGUAAAGAGCUCGUAGGCGGUUUGUCGCGUCGACUGUGAAAACCUGGGGCUUAACUCUGGGCCUGCAGUCGAUACGGGCAGACUUGAGUUCGGUAGGGGAGACUGGAAUUCCUGGUGUAGCGGUGAAAUGCGCAGAUAUCAGGAGGAACACCAGUGGCGAAGGCGGCCGACUGGUCCGGUUCUGACGCUGAGGCGCGAAAGCGUGGGGAGCAAACAGG